GCCUUCGUGGUCUAAUGGUAGAACACUCGGUGCAUAUUCGAGAGGUCCAGGUUCAGGUCCCGGCAAGGGCA
rfam:Stegodyphus mimosarum contig6225, whole genome shotgun sequence.